GAUGAAGAACGUAGUGAAAUGCGAUAAGUAGUGUGAAUUGCAGAAUUCCGUGAAUCAUCGAAUCUUUGAACGCACAUUGCGCCCCCUGGCAUUCCGGGGGGCAUGCCUGUCCGAGCGUCAUUUCUGCCCUCAAGCCCGGCUUGUGUGUUGGGCGUGGUCCCCCCGGUUUAGGGGGGACCUGCCCGAAAGGCAGCGGCGACGUUCCGCCUAGGUCCUCGAGCGUAUGGGGCUUUGUCACCCGCUCGGGAGGGGCCUACGGGCGUUGGCCAUCCACCAUUUUUUUUUACGGUUGACCUCGGAUCAGGUAGGAGUUACCCGCUGAACUUAAGCAUAUCAAUAAGCGGAGGA
rnacentral:misc_RNA from 1 species